rnacentral:rRNA from 1 species
UACAGAGGUCCCAAGCGUUGUUCGGAUUCACUGGGCGUAAAGGGUCCGUAGGCGGUCUGGAAAGUCAGAUGUGAAAUCCCACAGCUUAACUGUGGAACUGCAUUUGAAACUUCUAGACUAGAGUAUGAGAGGGGUAAAGGGAAUUCCCGGUGUAAGGGUGAAAUCUGCAGAGAUCGGGAGGAACACCAGUCGCGAAAGCGCUUUACUGGCUCAUUACUGACGCUCAGGGACGAAAGGCUAGGGUAGCAACAGGGG